rnacentral:rRNA from 1 species
CAUGCAUGUGUCAGUACAGGCCGGUCUAAGGCGAAACCGCGAAUGGCUCAUUAAAUCAGUUAUCAUUCAUUUGAUGGAAAGCUAUUACUCGGAUAACCCUGGUAAUUCUAGAGCUAAUACGUGAUUUGUGUAACUCCGACUGGAAGGGAGGAGUGCUUUUAUUAGUUGAAAACCAAGCGGGCCUCGGUCCGUCCACUUGCUUGUGAUGACUCUGAAUAACUUUGUGCAGAGAGCACGGUCUCCGCACCGGCUCCGUAUCUUUCGAGUUUCUGCCUUAUCAUGCUGUGGAUUGUAGGCCAUGCGCCUACAGUGGCUGUUACGGGUGACGGAGAAUCAGGGUUCGAUUCCGGAGAGGGAGCCUGAGAAACGGCUACCACAUCCAAGGAAGGCAGCAGGCACGCAAAUUACCCAAUCCCAGCUCUGGGAGGUAGUGACGAAAAAUAACAAUGCGGGACUCUUCCGAGUCUGCGUAAUUGGAAUGAGCACACUUUAAAUCCUUUAGCAACAACCAAUUGGAGGGCAAGUCUGGUGCCAGCAGCCGCGGUAAUUCCAGCUCCAAUAGCGUAUAUUAAAGUUGUUCAAAGCAGGCUACUCUGGAAUACAAUGCCCGAAUGUUAGCUGCAUGGAAUGAUGGAAGAUGAUCUCGGUUGCAUUUUGUUGGUGGUGGCAGCCAGAGGUAAUGAUAAAGAGGGACUGUCGGGGGCAUCCGUACUACGACGCGAGAGGUGAAAUUCAGUGACCGUCGUAGGACGAACAACAGCGAAAGCAUUUGCCAAGAAUGUCUUCGUUGAUCAAGAACGAAAGUUAGAGGAUCGAAGGCGAUCAGAUACCGCCCUAGUUCUAACCCUAAACGAUGCUGACUAGCAAUUCGCCGUCGUUAUUCCCAUGACGUGGCGAGACGCCCCCGGGAAACCUCAAGUCUUUGAGUUCCGGGGGUAGUAUGGUUGCAAAAGUGAAACUUAAAGGAAUUGACGGAAGGGCACCACCAGGAGUGGAGCCUGCGGCUUAAUUUGACUCAACACGGGGAAGCUGACCAGGCCCGGACACCAGAAGGAUUGACAGAUUAAGAGCUCUUUCUCGAUUUGGUGGGUGGUGGUGCAUGGCCGUUCUUAGUUGGUGGAGUGAUUUGUCUGGUUAAUUCCGAUAACGAACGAGACUCUGGCCUACUAAAUAGUGGACGGGCGUUUUGGUGCAUGGGCCCCGUUCGACACAGUCUUCUUAGAGGGAUGAGCAGCGAGUAUAGCUGCAGGAGAUUGAGCAAUAACAGGUCUGUGAUGCCCUUAGAUGUCCUGGGCCGCACGCGCGCUACACUGAAUGGGUUAGCGGGUUGUCCUUCUCCGAGAGGAGCGGGAAAUCGCUUGAAAACCAUUCGUGAUAGGGAUUGGGGCUUGCAAUUGUUUCCCAUGAACGAGGAAUUCCCAGUAAGCGCAAGUCAUCAGCUUGCGUUGAUUAAGUCCCUGCCCUUUGUACACACCGCCCGUCGCUACUACCGAUUGAAUGAUUUAGUGAGGCCUUCGGACUGGCGGUCUUGGACUGGGGCGUGUGG